GGGACACGGCCCGAUGACUCACUCCACGAUGUUUGAGGAAGAUGGCGGAUGUCACACCAUUAUCCUCGCCGUCCAUGACUGUCAGCUCAUUGCAAAGGUUCAAUGUCCACCACACUGUCGAGCAGCUCUUUUUGACCAGCAAUAUAGCGCCUUGACAAUGGUGACGUCACGUGCACAGGCUCUAUACACUGGACGUACCUUAGUGGUGCACUGGCUAUUUCUACUUGAGACCCAGAGGCCAAAGAUAAUUUACUCAACACAAUAAGCAAUGUGUGAAAACCCUUUUCCUCAGAACAUCUGCAGAGUAUGCUGCUCAGACGCAUGGCCCAUGUGAUUCGGCUUGCUUUCAAAAAAGGACCUCACUCGCUCACAAAUUUCAAUUUCAC